rnacentral:tRNA from 1 species
GUAGUUCAGUUGGUUAGAAUACCGGCCUGUCACGCCGGGGGUCGCGGGUUCGAGUCCCGUC